GAUGAACGCUAGCGGCAGGCUUAACACAUGCAAGUCGAGGGGCAGCGCGGGAUAGCAAUAUCCUGGCGGCGACCGGCGGAAGGGUGCGUAACGCGUGAGCGACAUGCCCGUUGCCCGGGGACAACCGGUGGAAACGCCGACUAAUCCCCGAUGGGAUAUUGUGCCGCAUGGCACGAUAUUGAAAGUUACGGCGGCGACGGAUUGGCUCGCGUCCGAUUAGCUGGUUGGCGGGGUAACGGCCCACCAAGGCUGCGAUCGGUAGGGGUUCUGAGAGGAAGGCCCCCCACAAUGGGACUGAGACACGGCCCAUACUCCUACGGGGGGCAGCAGUGAGGAAGAGUGGUCAAUGGGCGGAAGCCUGAACCAGCCAUGCCGCGUGCGGGAAGGAGGCCCUAUGGGCUGUGAACCGCUUUUGCCUGGGGGCAAUAAGGGCGUCGCGCACGUCCGAUGAGAGUACCAGGCGAAUAAGCAUCGGCUAACUCCGUG
rnacentral:rRNA from 1 species